rnacentral:rRNA from 1 species
UACGUAGGGUCCAAGCGUUAAUCGGAAUUACUGGGCGUAAAGCGUGCGCAGGCGGUUUUGUAAGACAGAGGUGAAAUCCCCGAGCUUAACUUGGGAACGGCCUUUGUGACUGCAAAGCUAGAGUGUGUCAGAGGGGGGUGGAAUUCCACGUGUAGCAGUGAAAUGCGUAGAGAUGUGGAGGAACACCGAUGGCGAAGGCAACCCCCUGGGAUAACACUGACGCUCAUGCACGAAAGCGUGGGGAGCAAACAGG